rnacentral:rRNA from 1 species
UACAGAGGGUGCAAGCGUUAAUCGGAAUUACUGGGCGUAAAGCGCGCGUAGGUGGUUUGUUAAGUUGGAUGUGAAAGCCCCGGGCUCAACCUGGGAACUGCAUUCAAAACUGACAAGCUAGAGUAUGGUAGAGGGUGGUGGAAUUUCCUGUGUAGCGGUGAAAUGCGUAGAUAUAGGGAGGAACACCAGUGGCGAAGGCGACCACCUGGACUGAUACUGACACUGAGGUGCGAAAGCGUGGGGAGCAAACGGG